rnacentral:snRNA from 1 species
AGAUGUGAGGGUCAUCUGGCUGUGGCAUCUGUCACCCCAUGGAUGGCUAGAGUAGAUUUGCUGAUCUGGAUGGCUAGACCUGUCUCCUUCAUUCACAGCUCCAUCUAGGUCCCUCUCAAAGCUGCAUGGUUGUUGGAAGCUGAUGGCCUUCCCGAUAGAGGAGUACCAGUCGUUGGUCAAGGACGAUCAGGGCAUGUGAUUAGUUGCACUCCCCUGCUAGAGCUUCCAAGGGAAGCACUCAAGGGAACAGGUUAUGUGACAACAGGUUGGCUGGAGAGAGGUACCAGGGACAUCAGGACUUGUGGCUUGAAACAGACCUGGGAAGGGAUGGUCCAGUGACACUUGAUUUCAAAUGUCACCUUCC